GGGAAUUGGUUCUUUGCAUAUGAGUUUCCUUCAGUCUCUGGAGGUUGCUCUGAAUUAGUUAGAAUCUCUCUAGUGUUUUUCCACUGAUUUUUUUAUAGAAUUUAUAACCUGAUUUUCAUGGCUUUGUGGGCUCAAAUGAGAGAGGUCCAAGUCCAAGAUUUUUCUCUUAUAUUUUAUUUAUUUAUUUAUUUAUUUACUUAUUUAUUUAUUUAUUUAUCUUUUUUUUUUUCGAAACGCGUGGGCUUCGC
rnacentral:lncRNA from 1 species